CAGGAAGUAGACCGGUCCAAAGAGUCAGGGGUUCAACUCCCUGAUGAGGAGCCAUCAAACAUCCUACACAUAGUUGGCUAAAUUUGAGGUUUGAUUAUCUCAGGCCCGUCAGCAACAAUGAAGCAUGUCACACACACGCUUACAAGAGAAAAUGUCACUGAGACCCACAAGAAGAGGAAGAAGAGGAGGAUGACGACAAGGAAAACGACACAGGCUGGAACACCUGUUCUCUAU